rnacentral:rRNA from 1 species
UGGGGAAUAUUGGACAAUGGGCGGAAGCCUGAUCCAGCAACGCCGCGUGAGGGAUGACGGCCUUCGGGUUGUAAACCUCUUUCAGUACCGACGAAGCGAAAGUGACGGUAGGUACAGAAGAAGGACCGGCCAACUACGUGCCAGCAGCCGCGGUAAUACGUAGGGUCCGAGCGUUGUCCGGAAUUAUUGGGCGUAAAGGGCUCGUAGGCGGUUUGUCGCGUCGGGAGUGAAAACAGCGGGCUUAACUCGUUGCUUGCUUUCGAUACGGGGCAGACUAGAGGUAUGCAGGGGAGAAUGGAAUUCCUGGUGUAGCGGUGAAAUGCGCAGAUAUCAGGAGGAACACCGGUGGCGAAGGCGGUUCUCUGGGCAUUACCUGACGCUGAGGAGCGAAAGUGUGGGGAGCGAACAGGA